GUUCGUACACACACACUCCAUCAUAGCUCCAAGAAAACAAAGGGGAUCCAAGAGAAAGCACAAUUUACAUGUGAUAAGAAUAAUAAUCUGUGUGUGAUACUACUAGACUAGAUUCACGGUAGAAUCAAAGAAAGAAGUACCAAAGUAGACAUCAAUAACGAAAAUGCAAGCAACACAGAAAAAAUGUAUAUAUAUUCAAUAAAGCAGUCCUAUGUUAUUUUCACAAAGUUUCAUGUACCCUAUAUAAAAAUGCAGACUAAAUGCUCCAGUUUCAACGACAGCGAGCACAUGCUUUAUCAUAUGUCAACAAGAAAGGAUCAGAAAAGUAUGUAAGUAAAGCUUAUGGUCAUUCAACUCAGUCAUCAGGCAGAGGGUAGAAGAGAUAAUUACCUUGAAGAUUAUGAUUAUGAUG